UUCUAGAGUGACGAGUCCCAAAUAGGAUGAAACACGCGUCCUGGAU
rnacentral:hammerhead_ribozyme from 1 species